rnacentral:lncRNA from 1 species
UUCUUCUCUAGCUGUAUGUGGGAAGCUCUGUGUUCCAGGCUGUGAGGCUGCCAGGCAACAAAGUUUCCCAAGUCUCAAGGAGCCAUGUUGUGAGUGUUUGACAGCCAGGUCUUGGAAAGGAAGGCCAACAUGCCCUGGGCUGAUCAGACUCCAUCAUGUUGACUCCUGGGAGGCACAUUUUUGAGAAACAAUUAGGAACCAGGAAGCAUUCUGAGGAGGAAAGCCAGGAUAAAGAAGACUCAGAUAAAAAAGUCAUCCCACCAGGUCUGGAUGCAGUGUGACUGUAUCAGUCAGCUUUUGCUGGGUUAUGCCAAGUAACAAACAGGAUUCAGGCUGAAAGAUCAGCUAUGAAACUGCUGGUUUUGAGGCACAGGAAAAAGAGUGAUGGCAGAACUGAGAAAUGACUUUAAAGCCUCUGCUCAGAAGUGGCUUAUAUCCCUCUGUUCACAUUUUAUUGGCCACAGAGAAUCACAUGAUCAAAUAUGUCUUCAGACUUGAUGGGCUUAGGGAGAUACCAUGCUCCCACAGGGAGGGGUGGUAACUAUUUGGCCAGCACAGAGUAGAUACCAACAGUUAUUAAACUGUUUGUUGAAUGAAUGAAUAGAUGAAUUCUCUGAUCCUGGAAGGAUUUAAAUAAAGAAUGGAUGACCAUUUGUAUUACCUAUCUAUUGCUGCAUAACAAAUUAUUAAAAA